CCUACGGGGUGCAGCAGUGGGGGAUAUUGCACAAUGGGGGAAACCCUGAUGCAGCGACGCCGCGUGGGUGAAGAAGCGCCUCGGCGCGUAAAGCCCUGUCAGCAGGGAAGAAAAUGACGGUACCUGAAGAAGAAGCCCCGGCUAACUACGUGCCAGCAGCCGCGGUAAUACGUAGGGGGCAAGCGUUAUCCGGAUUUACUGGGUGUAAAGGGGGCGCAGACGGCGAUGCAAGCCAGGAGUGAAAGCCCGGGGCCCAACCCCGGGACUGCUCUUGGAACUGCGUGGCUAGAGUGCAGGAGGGGCAGGCGGAAUUCCUGGUGUAGCGGUGAAAUGCGUAGAUAUCAGGAGGACCACCGGUGGUGAAGGCGGCCUGCUGGACUGCAACUGACGUUGAGGCCCGAAAGCGUGGGGAGCAAACAGGAUUAGAUACCCUUGUAGUC
rnacentral:rRNA from 1 species